GACGAACGCUGGCGGCGUGCCUAAUACAUGCAAGUAGAACGCACAGUUUAUACCGUAGCUUGCUACACCAUAAACUGUGAGUUGCGAACGGGUGAGUAACGCGUAGGUAACCUGCCUGGUAGCGGGGGAUAACUAUUGGAAACGAUAGCUAAUACCGCAUAAUAUUGAUUAUUGCAUGAUAAUUGAUUGAAAGAUGCUAUUGCAUCACUACCAGAUGGACCUGCGUUGUAUUAGCUAGUAGGUGAGGUAACGGCUCACCUAGGCGACGAUACAUAGCCGACCCGGAGGGGUGGUCCGCCCACAUUGGGACGGGACCAGGCCCCAAAUCCUACCGGGGGGAGCAGUAGGGAAACUUUGGCAAUGGGCGGAAGUCUGAACCCACCACGCCGCGUGGGGGGAGGAGGGUUUCGGGUCGUAAAGCUCUGUUGUAAGAGAAGAACGGGUGUGAGAGUGGAAAGUUCACACUGUGACGGUAUCUGACCAGAAAGGGACGGCUAACUACGUG
rnacentral:rRNA from 1 species